GCAUGGAUGGUGAUCCUUCUGUCCAGUCUACGCUGGCCAUGCUGGCCCUGAGGCCUGGAACUGGGGAGCACGAGCAGGAUGACAUCUCCAGUGUCUGUCUGGGUCACCUGUUAGCGGAUGAGAAGUCCAGCCUUACUGCCUGUUCUCCACCUGCAUUUAGGCUUCAUCCCUGGAAUGUCACCUUCUGUCUUCUGGAAAACGUCUAGGCUCUGCUGCCAUACAGAACCCUUCUGCUUCCUUAAGGAGACGGUCCACUGUCCCCUUGUCUUCUCUCCUCUAAGCAAGAGGGGCCCCUGCCCGUUGCCCUUUCCUGGAUGGAGCAUGAGUUUUGAUGUCAGGCAGGUCUGGGUUUGAAGCCUCGUUUGUCUUGCCUUCAGAAUAACCUCUCUAAGCCUCAGUUUUAUAGCCCGAAAAUGGGGGUGAUUAUAACUCCUGAAGGGAAGUUUUGGGAUUGGCUGAUACAUAAGAUACUUAGCACAGUGCCUGGCACACAGUAAGCGAUCAAUAAAUGGUAGCAUUUAUAG
rnacentral:lncRNA from 1 species